rnacentral:rRNA from 1 species
GACGCCCCCAAUCAAGCCCAGACCUCUUUAUCACCAACCUACCCCCCCCCCCCCUUAAAUAAAUCAUUCUAAUUCUCUAGUAUAUGCGAUUGAAAAAGAACCAGGAGCUUUACAAAUAGUACCGCAAGGGAAAGAUGAAAUAGAAAUUAAAUAAAUACUCAAGCAUGAAAUAGCAGAGACUACAACUCGUACCUUUUGCAUCAUGGUCUAACUAGUCUAACCAGGCAAAAAGAUUUUUAGUCUGGCCCCCCGAAACUAAGUGAGCUACUCCGAGGCAACCUUAGAGUAAACCCGUCUCUGUGGCAAAAGAGUGGGAAGACCUCUGAGUAGAGGUGAUAUACCUAUCGAACUUAGUGAUAGCUGGUUACUCAAGAAACGAAUUUUAGUUCUUUCUUAAGAGGAUCAAGCGCAUUUUAAUCAACAAGCAAAGCAAACCCAACCUCCUAAGACCUAUUCAAUUAGGGUACAGCCUAAUUGAAAAAGGACACAACCUAGAACCCAGGUUAACGUUUUCAAAGACCAAGAACAAGUUGGCCUAAAAGCAGCCACCUUCAAAAUAGCGUCAAAGCUUUCUCUCCCGUCUUCUCCAAUCUCCAUCCCCUUACGGAACCCGGUACUGAUAUUGAGUCUUUCUAUACCCCUAUAGAAGUGUUUAUGUUAGAACUAGUAACACAGAACUAUUUCUCUCUAUGUGAGUGUAAAUCAGAUUGAAUAACUCGCUGAUAAUUACUCAGUACUGAAGCUAUUGUAGCAACCCCUCUAGAAAACCCUACAACUUCACCCUGUUAACCUUACACAAGAGCAUUAAAGAAAGAUUAAAAGACAAGGAAGGAACUCGGCAAAUUUAAGUCUCGCCUGUUUACCAAAAACAUCGCCUCUUGCACACUAUAUUAGGCAAUGCCUGCCCGGUGACCAUGUGUUUAACGGCCGCGGUAUUCUGACCGCGCGAAGGUAGCGUAAUCACUUGUCUUCUAAAUAAAGACUAGUAUGAACGGCCACACGAGGACUUGACUGUCUCCCCUGUCCAAUCAGUGAAACUGAUCCCCUCGUGCAGAAGCGAGGAUAAACCCAUAAGACGAGAAGACCCUAUGGAGCUUUAAACUCAAUAUUAAUUACUUUUAACCCCCUCUAAGGAACUAACAAAUAAUUUUAAAACUUAAUAUUAGUUUUAGGUUGGGGCGACCAUGGAGAAAAAAAUAUCCUCCCUGAUGAUCUUCUAACCAAGAGCCACAGCUCCAAGUAUUAAGAUACUUAACUCCCAUUGACCCAUUUUGUGAUCAACGAACCAAGUUACCCUAGGGAUAACAGCGCAAUCCAUUUCAAGAGUCCCUAUCGACAAAUGGGUUUACGACCUCGAUGUUGGAUCAGGGCAUCCUAG